rnacentral:rRNA from 1 species
CGGGUGAGUAACGCGUGAGGACUUGUCUAGUACAGGAGGACAACAGUUGGAAACGGCUGCUAAUACCCCAUAAGCCUAAGGGUAAAAGGAGCAAUCCGGUACAUGAGAGACUCGCGUCCUAUCAGCUAGUAGGUGGGGUAACGGCCCACCUAGGCGAAGACGGGUAGCCGGCCUGAGAGGGCGAACGGACACACUGGAACUGAGACACGGUCCAGACUCCUACGGGAGGCAGCAGUGGGGAAUAUUGGGCAAUGGAGGGAACUCUGACCCAGCGACGCCGCGUGAGUGAAGAAAUCCCUCGGGAUGUACAAGCUCUGUUGUGUGGGCAAGAUAAUGACGGUACCAAACGAGGAAGGCCCGGCAAAAGUACGGUGCCAAGCAAGCCGAGGUAAUACGUAGAGGGCAAGCGUUGUCCGGAAUUACUGGGCGUAAAGCGCACACAGACGGAUUAAUAAGUCACUUGUAAAAUGCACGGGCUCAACUCUUGUUUGUCGACUGAUACUGUUAGUCUAGAGUAUAUGAGAGGGAAGUGGAAUUCCCGGUGUAUCGCGUGAAAUGCGCAGAUAUCGGGAGGAACACCACUGUCGAAGACGCCUUCCUGGCACACAACUGACGC